rnacentral:tRNA from 1 species
UAUGGCAGAAUAGUGCAAUGGAUUUAAAUCCCAUAAAUAAAGUAUUUACUUUUAUUAAAA